rnacentral:rRNA from 1 species
UACAGAGGUCCCAAGCGUUGUUCGGAUUCAUUGGGCGUAAAGGGUGCGUAGGCGGUGAGGUAAGUUGGAUGUGAAAUCCCGGGGCUUAACCCCGGAACUGCAUUCAAUACUGCUUUGCUAGAGUACUGGAGAGGAGAUUGGAAUUCACGGUGUAGCAGUGAAAUGCGUAGAUAUCGUGAGGAAGACCAGUGGCGAAGGCGAAUCUCUGGACAGUUACUGACGCUGAGGCACGAAGGCCAGGGGAGCAAACGGG